rnacentral:rRNA from 1 species
UACGUAGGGUGCAAGCGUUAAUCGGAAUUACUGGGCGUAAAGCGUGCGCAGGCGGAUAUGUAAGUCAGUGGUGAAAUCUCCGGGCUUAACCCGGAAACUGCCGUUGAUACUAUAUAUCUUGAAUGCUGUGGAGGUAAGCAGAAUAUGUCAUGUAGCGGUGAAAUGCUUAGAGAUGACAUAGAAUACCUAUUGCGAAGGCAGCUUACUACGCAGAUAUUGACGCUCAUGCACGAAAGCGUGGGGAUCAAACAGG